UACGUAGGGUGCAAGCGUUAAUCGGAAUUACUGGGCGUAAAGCGUGCGCAGGCGGUUCGGAAAGAAAGAUGUGAAAUCCCAGGGCUCAACCUUGGAACUGCAUUUUUAACUACCGGACUAGAGUAUGUCAGAGGGGGGUGGAAUUCCACGUGUAGCAGUGAAAUGCGUAGAUAUGUGGAGGAACACCGAUGGCGAAGGCAGCCCCCUGGGAUAAUACUGACGCUCAUGCACGAAAGCGUGGGGAGCAAACAGG
rnacentral:rRNA from 1 species